UACGAGAGGCCCAAACGUUAUUCGGAAUUACUGGGCUUAAAGAGUUCGUAGGCGGCAUGAAAAGCAGGGUGUGAAAGCCCCCGGCUCAACCGAGGAAUUGCGCUCUGAACUGUCGUGCUUGAGGAACCUAGAGGUGAGCAGAACUGAUGGUGGAGCGGUGAAAUGCGUUGAUAUCAUCAGGAAUACCGGAGGCGAAGGCGGCUCACUGGGGGUUUUCUGACGCUGAGGAACGAAAGCCAGGGGAGCGAACGGG
rnacentral:rRNA from 1 species